rnacentral:lncRNA from 1 species
AAAGCCUCGCCUCCCCCACUCCUGGAGCAUCUGUGGGUCUGACUCCCUGAGCCGGCGGGGCCUCCCAUGGCAGCUCCCAUGGCCCACCAGGGGUACUUUUCAUUGUGCCUUGAUCCGGAGAUGGGACCCUUAACCUGCACCACAUUCCUGAGGGCGUGCGAAGGUGGCCCCAGCACACAGACACACCGGGUGCUGUGGGCUCCAGGAGUCGGUGGCGGGGAGAGGGGACUUCGGUCACGGGGCACACUGGAUCUGGAUCCCGAGAGCGAGGAGGAUGCUUCCCGGUGGAGAAGGGCGGUCUGUCCGAUGGAGUGAGUGAAGGCCAAAGAAGGAUUAACCCAGAGAGCAGGUGAUGCCGUCCUGGAGGAAAAGACCAGUGAAAGCUGUCCUGUUGACUUUGAGGAGACAGAUGCUGAGUUUUGAAACACAAGCCUCCCAAACACACCCUGAAAUCCUCUGCUGUUCUUCCUGCCAUGACAGAAGCGGCCUGUGGCACCAGGUGUAUUCGUGAAUGUCCCGUGCUCCGAUGCCC